rnacentral:rRNA from 1 species
GACGAACGCUGGCGGCGUGCCUAAUACAUGCAAGUCGAGCGAGCGGAACUAACAGAUUUACUUCGGUAAUGACGUUAGGACAGCGAGCGGCGGAUGGGUGAGUAACACGUGGGGAACCUGCCCCAUAGUCUGGGAUACCACUUGGAAACAGGUGCUAAUACCGGAUAAGAAAGCAGAUCGCAUGAUCAGCUUUUAAAAGGCGGCGUAAGCUGUCGCUAUGGGAUGGCCCCGCGGUGCAUUAGCUAGUUGGUAAGGUAAAGGCUUACCAAGGCGAUGAUGCAUAGCCGAGUCGAGAGACUGAUCGGCCACAUUGGGACUGAGACACGGCCCAAACUCCUACGGGAGGCAGCAGUAGGGAAUCUUCCACAAUGGACGCAAGUCUGAUGGAGCAACGCCGCGUGAGUGAAGAAGGUUUUCGGAUCGUAAAGCUCUGUUGUUGGUGAAGAAGGAUAGAGGUAGUAACUGGCCGUUAUUUGACGGUAAUCAACCAGAAAGUCACGGCUAACUACGUG